UACGGAGGAUCCAAGCGUUAUCCGGAAUCAUUGGGUUUAAGGGGUCCGUAGGCGGCCUUGUAAGUCAGUGGUGAAAUCUCACGGCUCAACCGUGAAAUGGCCAUUGAUACUGCAGGGCUUGAAUUAUCGGGAAGCAGCUAGAAUAUGUAGUGUAGCGGUAAAAUGCUUAGAUAUUACAUGGAAUACCGAUUGCGAAGGCAGGCUGCUACCGGUGGAUUGACGCUGAUGGACGAAAGCGUGGGGAGCGAACAGGAUUAGAUACCCUGGUAGUCCACGCCGUAAACGAUGGAUACUAGCUGUUGGGGCGCAAGCUUCAGUGGCUAAGCGAAAGUGAUAAGUAUCCCACCUGGGGAGUACGAACGCAAGUUUGAA
rnacentral:rRNA from 1 species